GUAUUGUGGCUCAGGGGUAGAGUGCUUGCCUAGCAUGCACAAGGCACUGGGCUCAAUCCUCAGCAUCAUAUA
rnacentral:tRNA from 1 species